UACAGAGGGUGCGAGCGUUAAUCGGAAUUACUGGGCGUAAAGCGCGCGUAGGCGGCUUUGCAAGUCGAGUGGGAAAUCCCCAGGCUUAACCUGGGAACUGCAUUCGAGACUGCAUAGCUAGAGUAUGGGAGAGGGAAGUGGAAUUUCAGGUGUAGCGGUGAAAUGCGUAGAUAUCAGGAGGAACACCGGUGGCGAAGGCGGAUCUCUGGGCCAUUACUGACGCUGAGGAGCGAAAGCGUGGGGAGCGAACAGG
rnacentral:rRNA from 1 species